rnacentral:lncRNA from 10 species
GCAGCAAUUAUGAAUACUGCUGCUAUAAACAUUUUUGUGUAUCUUCAGUUUUAUUCAGUAAUGCCAGAUUAUUUUCCAAAGUGGUUGCACUAGUUUAAAUUCCUACCAACAAUAUGUGAGCAUUCCUGUUUAUCCACCUCUUUGCCAAGGCUUAGAAUUGUCAAUCAGUUAAAUUUUAUUAACCAUUGUGGUAGGUACAUAAUGGGUUUUUGGGUGUAAUUGAGGUAGGUGUCAUACACAAUAAAAUGUAAAAAUGUAUAGCCUGAAAAAUAUUUUACAUAUAAAUAUCUAAUCACUACCCAGAUGAAGAUAUAGAAUAUUUCCAUCACUCCAGAAAGUUCUCUCAUGUUCCUUUCCAGAAAGAAGCUGCUAUUCUAACCACACUGUUUUGACUUCGGCCACUAUACAUGCAUUUUGCCUGUUUUUGAACUUCAUAUAAUUGGGCUCAGACAGUAUGGACUCUCCUGUGUCUGGCUUCUUUUGCCCAGCAUAAUUUUUUUUUUUUUUUGCACUUUAUCCAAAUUGUUGGCUGUAUCAGUUACUCUUUUUUUCUUGCUGAGUUCUGUUGUAUGAUUAUAUUACUCUUUGUUUAUUCAUUUUGUUUCUGAUUGUUUCUAGGUUUUGGCUAUUGUGAAUUAAGCUGCUAUGAACAUUCUCAUAUAUACUCAUUUCUCUUGGGUAUAUAUCUAGGAGUGGAUUUUUGGGUCUUGGGGUAGAUGACACGAUGGUGAUGAUGUUUAGUUCCAUUUAUUGAAAAGGCCGUCUCCUCCUGCUCAAUAGAGCUACCUUGGUCAUAAAUCAGUAGAUACGAGGGUUUCACCAUGUUGGCCAGGCGGGUUUUGAACUACUGACCUCAAGUGAUCCGCCCACCUCGGCCUGCUAAAGUGCUAGGAUUACAGACGUGAGCCACCGCACCCAGUCACUAUCUCACUUCUUUUGCUUAACAUGUCUAUGAGAUUUAUUUAUGUUGUAUAUUGCAAUUCUUUUUUAUUGUGUAGGAUUAUGUUGUGUUAAUUUAUCACAUUUUAUCUGUUUUACUGUUGAUGGAAAUUUUGGUUGUUUCUGUAUUUUGGCUAAAAUGAAUAAAACUGCUAAAAACAUUUUGUACAUGUUUGGUGGACCUACUCAUUUUCUGUUGG